rnacentral:rRNA from 1 species
AUGGUGCUGCUGUCGCCGGUGAGCCGGGCUGCCGGGGCAAUGUACAACUCCAGCGCCCGGCCCGACAUUAUCAUCAACAACGUCACGGUGUGCGCCACCCCGGCAGCCACGCUGGUGGCCAGCUUCACUGUGUCCGCCGACAUGCGGACCACCGAGCGGCUCAUGGUCACCACCACGGUCCUCAUGACCUUGCUCGGCACCGCCCUCUUCCUCCUUGGAGUUUCGGGACGCCUCUCGGGCCGGGGCCGUGGCCACUCUACCGCCACCCGCAUCUUCUUCCGCGCCUCCUUCGCUCUCUUCCUCCCCUUCAUGUCCUACAUGUUCUCCCAGGCCAAGAGCAAGCCACCCGACACUGGCAACCAGCCCCGCGCGCAGCUCAUUCUCCUCUGGAUGAUCCUCGUCGAGCUCCUCCGCAAGAAGGUCUACGCCAUGGUUGCCCCCGCCACCGAUGCCUUCGCGCGCGGCGUCGGCCGCUACAGCUUCUUUGAUGCCGUCGAGGAGGCUGCACGCAUGGCGUGGAUUGGGUACCUCAUCUACACCUACGUGCAUGGCUUUGGCGUCAAGUCCUUCUUCAUCAUCCUCUGGAUCUUCAGCGUCGUCAAGAUGUGCAAGCGCUCCAUGUGCAUCUACCUUGCUAAGCGCUCCUUCGACCUCGCGAAGAACGCCGCCCUCAUCUCCGGCUACAUGGUGCAGCUCGUCAACGAGCAUCGGCAAUUGCUCCGCGACGACGAACAAGCAGUUGGCGCCGGUAUCAUGAGGGUUUGCAACUACGCGGUCAUGGGAGAGAGACGGCUCAAGAGGGAGGUGACGCCCCAUGGCUUCAAGAUCCAAGAAAAAGAAAUGAACAAAAUUCUCCUUGUAGAUGGAAGUCCAAAUGGGAAGGAAGAGGCCAAAAAGUCCGAGCUGGUCCGGGUAUGUAACAUAUGGGACCUCGCCAAUAGUGACCCCAUCUUCAGGUACAACUUGAGCAGGAAGCACAAGUUGGAGAACAUUUGCCUUGCCGUCGCACUCUUCAAGCUGCUCCGACGAAAGAUGGAGCACUUCCACAUGGCAGAGGCAGACACCCGACAAGCACGCGAUCUCGUCCUCCGGGGCCUCCUCGCCCUCGAGGGGCACGAGGACGAGGUUGCCAACGCUGAGAGGGCUUUCGAGGUGGUGGAACUAGAGCUGAGGUUUCUGGACGAGUACUACCAGGCCAUCAUCCCGUUGGCAUUGUCCAAGCCGGGGCUAUUCAUAGCCAACUUUAUCAUCUCCAUCGUCUUCAUCUUUUUAUACUGCAUCACCGUGCUCCUCGUCACAGGCAAUGGCCACAUCUUCAAGGUGCUAGGCUCCCUCUUUCGGGGGCUCAUCGGCCUGUCCAUCGACAUGGUGGUGCAGUACAAGUGCUUCGUCCACCAAGUGAACUUCCUCUUCGGCAUGGUUUGCUCCUCCUCCGACCUCAUCGUCACCUUCCUCCUCACGCUCACCCUUCUCGCCGUCGAGACAUAUGAAUUCUUGCAGUACGUGAUCUCCGACUGGUUCAUCGUGUCCGUGAUGUACAAGUAUGCCCAAAUGCCCAUGCUCCGACGGCAGGGGCAUCCCGGGCGGGUCGCCAAGGGCACCCUGUGGGCAAAGCACCGCUCCCAUGCCGUCAUCAAGGUCUACCAGGUCACCAUGCUCAAGCUCCACCAUCUCCACCCGCGCUGGGUGUGGAUGCUCGUCUCCCGCCUUCUCAAGAGGCGCCUCGUCGGGCUCCCCGAUGCCAUCGUCACCGGUGACACCAAGGUGGCCAUCGUCAAGGCGUUGAAGGACGUCCUCACCCCAAGCUGUGGCAGGCACUUCAGCAACGGCAUGGCUACGUUGGAAAGGCAAUGCUUCCUCAACCUCAAGUGGGCGUGCGACCCCAAGAUGAGCACAUCAACGAUGAUAGUGGUGUGGCACAUCGCGACAGCCCUGUUUGAGACGAGGGACAAACAGAAGCACCCUCUCCCACCACACGGCCAGGCCGCCCUGACGUUGUCGAGGUACUGCGCAUACUUGGUGGCCUACGAGCCGGGGCUCCUCCCGGACGAUGAGGCAUGGACGGAGAAGGUGUACAAGGACAUCAAGGGGGAGCUCAACAGUUUCUUCCAGAGCUGUUGCAAUACUGGUGACCGCCGUGAGCGUCUGGUGAAGUUCGGUCAAGGAGAAGAGGACGAGGAGAAGUCGGCCAUGGUGAAGGGUGUCAAGCUAGGGAAGCAAUUGGAGAUCACUACCAGUAGCGGUGGGGACUUGCUUGAGGACGAGAGAGUGUGGGGGAUGCUACUCGAGUUCUGGGCGGAACUUCUCGUGUUCGUGGCGCGCAGGCCAUCGACGGGCCCGGAGGCGCACGCCCUGGCGCUGAGCAACGGUGGCGAGUUCAUCACCCACAUCUGGGCCAUGCUCACCCACGCCGGCGUGCAUGUCCCCAAGAACCACCAGGAUGAUCAGGUUCCAUCGUGCAACUGCAAUCCAGUUUGA